GAUGAACGCUGGCGGCGUGCCUAAUACAUGCAAGUCGAGCGAACGGACGAGAAGCUUGCUUCUCUGAUGUUAGCGGCGGACGGGUGAGUAACACGUGGAUAACCUACCUAUAAGACUGGGAUAACUUCGGGAAACCGGAGCUAAUACCGGAUAAUAUUUUGAACCGCAUGGUUCAAAAGUGAAAGACGGUCUUGCUGUCACUUAUAGAUGGAUCCGCGCUGCAUUAGCUAGUUGGUAAGGUAACGGCUUACCAAGGCAACGAUGCAUAGCCGACCUGAGAGGGUGAUAGGCCACACUGGAACUGAGCCACGGUCCAGACUACUACGGGAGGCAGCAGUAGGGAAUCUGCCGCAGUGGGCGAAAGCCUGACGGAGCAACGCCGCGUGAGUGAUGAAGGUCUUCGGAUCGUAAAACUCUGUUAUUAGGGAAGAACAUAUGUGUAAGUAACUGUGCACAUCUUGACGGUACCUAAUCAGAAAGCCACGGCUAACUACAUG
rnacentral:rRNA from 1 species